CUUUUUUAAGUACCAUUAGGCACGAUGACGUCUGGGUGCCAGCCAUCCUGCACGACUUGUGGACUUUGCUGGCAACCAUGGCCUGCAGAGACUGCAGCUGCUGUAGAAGAGACCUGGGGAGGAGGCAACGCACAAACGCAGCGAGUCAACUGAAGCUUUCCACACACGCGUCUGCUUCAUUAACCCUCAGACAGCCACGAUGAGGCGACACUCCACUACGCCGCCGAGUAAAACAACACCCCCAACAGCUGCAUUGCAACUCAGCCGUGCUUAACGCAGCGCGCUCAAACACGGCUCAUCCACGCACCACGGGAGCCGGCGCGGCCUAUUUACAGCAGCGGGAGCUCUUUACAUGAAAAUAGCCCCGUGAUUAUGUGCGGCUUCAAAGCUGCAGCUGAACAGAUUCGGAUUCAGUCCUAUUGAGAGACGAUAAAAGUCAGCCAGUGUUUCCCGACAGAUCACCCAGCCGCUGUCAGCAGCAGGAUGAGGGUUAGACACAGACGCCUUUAAAAGAUUGUUUGGAGGCAGAGGCACGAAUCGAGCUACAAAGAGACACUUUUAGGUCUGAAACCCUCCUCCUCCAGAAUCUUCUGCGGUUUUGACUGUCACCCUGCUUGAAUGUGUGUGACGGACACGUCAGACUUGUCUCCUGAAGCUGUGUCCGAACAGAUUUGCUUAUAAAAAGUUGAUUUUCCCCAACUGUCCAAAACUUUGAUCAGUGUGACGUCCAGUGACUUUUCUGCUUUUCUUCUUUUACUUUAGAUGCAAUAUCAUUGGCCUGUGUAUCAGAGUGACCUGUAUAUACUGUAUUUAGCUUUUAUCUGAUCUUUUUGGUGGUAACAGAAUUCCUUAAAAGCAGGUCUCCAUUCAUCUCUAAGGACCUUCAGGACGUCGGCUGGCUGUGUUUGUUCUUACUUGUUCGUGCACUCCAGAGUCUCCACUUUCCUGCGCAGUUCAUUGUUUUCGUUAGAGCAGUUCUCCACCCUGUGGCACAAGACAAAUACUGCAUGUUCAGACUGAUUUUAGUUUCAUAUAUUGCUUGCAGCUCUCGCACCUAGUAUGAAAUAUUUGAUGAUCAGUCGUGUAGCAGCUAACUACAUCCUGAUGAGCAGUUACUAAGUAAACAAGCAGGAGUCAGAGCACAAAGUGAAACCUGAGCCUAUGUGUGCGUGCCAGCGGGGGUUUUAUUUCCCAGUCUCUUUGAAACCACGGACUCACUUCUUCUCCAGCGUGUCCAUGUACUCUUUCUUCUUCCUGCGACUCUCCUGAGCCGAGAUCUGAGGGGAGAAAGAGACAAUUACACGCGUUCGCUUUGACUCGUUGAAUGUUUAAAGCAGGGCUGAGAAUGUGUGUGAAUACUGAUGGAAACCUUUGUGCACGAUGCCAGUGGCAGCGGUGAAAAUUACUUUGACCUUCUUGUUGGUACCUUGUUUUUGAUUUUCCGGCGGAUCUUCUUCAGAGCCUUCUCUUCGGCUUUGGUGAGGGGCAGCUUGGUGGGAACGGGGUAGCCCUCGGCCACCAGCGUGCGACGCUCCUCCUCAGUCAGCAUCAGCGGGCCGGACCCCUGCAGCUUCUACAGGACACACAGAAAGCUACAUCACCAACAGCCAAACAAAGACAGAUAAGCUCUACAGUAUUUGGAGCUGAACCCUCAUCAUCAGUGGACACCUACAUGAGGAGCAGUGAGCAGGGGGGAGUUGGACAGCGAUGAGGCGGCACGGGGCGACACCUUCAGGCUGGCCUGCAGUGGGGGAGGGCUGGUGGGUGAGGUGGGGCAGGAGAGGCCGGGCGGAGCGUGGACGGGGCUCUGGCUGCCCUCCGAGUCACUGCCGUGGGAACUGGGGGGAGUGGGAGGCAUCUGCAGAGACUCCAGACCUGAAACCACCAGAAACGAUGCCUUAGUGAAUAUUCAUGUCGGAAUACAUCAGAGAAGUCUUAAAGCAGGUUCUUUUCAGUACUUGUACUUUUGCCUUCAUCUUUUAGCAUUUGUACAAACGUCCAGCAGGUGUCCUCAUAUGACAGAUCUGCAAAUGACACCAUGGGAGUAUAUGAGAGAGAAUGUGUUUAGAUCCUGACCUUUGGGUGACAGGUUGAGGAACUGGUCCACCUCGUGAGGCUCUAGUUUGAUCUGAGGGAUGAUGUUCUCCUCCUUUAUCUGGAAAUACAGAUGAAGGAUGAGCUAAAUAAAACGCUGUGAAAACGA